UUAUCAAUAUCUUAUGUGAAAAGCUUAAUUGCACAACUCCCUUCUCCAUUUAUUUCCUGCUUCUUGGUAGCCUUUGACCAUAUUGGAGUGACCACCUGGGGCCUGUGAGGCAAGGCCAUUAAAACAUGGCAGAUGCUUCAAGACCUGAUUCAGAGGAUCACAGAGGAUGACUUGGAUUCUAUCGAUCCUAUACCUGAGGAUAUCCCUGAAGGUUUAUGGUCAAAGUCUUCCACAGAUGAAGGUCUAUUUAAAUCAGCUACUCCUGUAAGGAUUAAGGAAGGACCAGUUCCUUGUGUACCUCAAUAUCCCUUAACUAUCGAAUAAACAGAGGGUAUCAGACCA
rnacentral:lncRNA from 1 species